GGCGUCCUCGCGACGGCUAUCCGUGAAUCCCGUCAGGCCUGGAAGGGAGCAGCGGCAGCGGUGUUGCCGGGUGCCGGGGCUUGGCUGG
rnacentral:SRP_RNA from 1 species